UACGUAGGGUGCAGGCGUUAAUCGGAAUUACUGGGCGUAAAGCGUGCGCAGGCGGUUUGCUAAGACAGGUGUGAAAUCCCCGGGCUUAACCUGGGAACUGCGCUUGUAACUGGCAAGCUGGAGUGUGGCAGAGGGAGGUGGAAUUCCACGUGUAGCAGUGAAAUGCGUAGAGAUGUGGAGGAACACCGAUGGCGAAGGCAGCCUCCUGGGCCAGCACUGACGCUCAUGCACGAAAGCGUGGGGAGCAAACAGG
rnacentral:rRNA from 1 species